AAUCUGGAUUUAGAAUAUUUUUUUGUCAUCUGCUUGACCAAAAUAAAGUCAAUGCUUAAUAGAUAGAGCAAUACUUUCCCUUAUACAGUUUAAUAAAACAAAUUUAAAAUUCAGAAAUAAAAAUAAUUCAUUGAAUCAACUUUUUUAAGACUACUAUAAAAUAUGGACCUAUUCAAGUACACCUUUUAGCCAAAAUUUAGGGUGUGCUUGACUGGAUUGUAUUUUUAAAUGUUGUGUAGGACUUUUUGUAAACGAUAAAUGCUGACAUGGACAUAAUACUUGUGUACAACUGUGCAAGUAUUGAACAUCGCAGCUUGAAAUGCAAUGUGACCUUAAAGACAACAUAAUAAUGGACAGAUGUUCUCUGGUCAUUCGUACUUGUUGGCCACACACAUGGAGAUAUUGAUCCUGCUUUCAGCUAAUAUCAGAAAAAUUAAGAACAAAGGAUGCUGAAACUGUGCAGUCACUGUUCAGGAUUAUUCCAGAUGUUUAAAAAGUGAAAUUAUAAUACAAUAUAUGUUACUGGUUAAUUCCUAUGAUUAGUAAUUUUAAACAACACACAGAGACUUUGCAUUAUUGUUUUACAAGAGAGACACCAAAAGAUGCAGUCAACAUUUAUCAUUUUUAUCAAAAUACACCCAGGACAAACCAUGGAUACACUUAGCUUGAAAUAUGGUGCUUUCUUACCAAAAUUGCCUAUAUGUAAAAGAAAUGAAGAACCUAAAUUCAUGACAACAAUCAGGAGAUACCCAGAAGAACUAGUAUAAAUGGUUAAAGAUGAAAGAAUGCAGAAUAAGGCAGGAUUGAAAGGAAGAAAGAACUAGUCAUCAGUAAAGAAACAGAUCAAUUUAUAUAACAUGUAAUAAUUCCAUCUGAAUAUAACAAACAUUGCACAUGUUAUGAAGAUUUGUUCACAUGUCUACUCUGAUUUGUACCCGUAGUUAUGUAUUUGUAAUAUUAUAUAGUACAGGUAUUUUAUUUUAGAACAGUAUUUUUUUUUGCUGUGGAGAACAUCAAAGAAAUUAGAAAAAUAUAAUUAAAGAUAGUUUCUUCCAUUUUUUCUGUGACAAAAAAAAAAUUGUGCAAAUUAGGAAAAUGAAAUGAGGCUAUAUUAUUAAAUAUUUUUGAGUUUUAGUUUUUUUUUUACAUCCUAUUUUAAAAUUUCAUUGGCAUUUGAAGUAAUGAGUUGAAACCAGUUUUUAUCAAUCAUUUUUUUUCAAGAUGUACAAACAGUACAGUAGGUUAAGCUAUGGUGUACAUUAGUUUACUAUGAUGUUAAGGUCAAAUAAACUUGAAACUUUGUA